CUACUGGAAACGGUGGCUAAUACCGCAUAAUGUCUACGGACCAAAGCAGGGGCUCUUCGGACCUUGCACUAUCGGAUGAACCCAUAUGGGAUUAGCUAGUAGGUGGGGUAAAGGCUCACCUAGGCGACGAUCUCUAGCUGGUCUGAGAGGAUGAUCAGCCACACUGGGACUGAGACACGGCCCAGACUCCUACGGGAGGCAGCAGUGGGGAAUAUUGCACAAUGGGCGCAAGCCUGAUGCAGCCAUGCCGCGUGUAUGAAGAAGGCCUUAGGGUUGUAAAGUACUUUCAGCGGGGAGGAA
rnacentral:rRNA from 1 species